AUAUUACUAAGCGGAGGAGAAGAAAUUAACUAAGAUUGCCUUAGUAAGGGCGACUGAACCGGCAAAAGCUCGAAAUUAAAAUCGGGAAUUCAAUGAAUUUUCGAAUUGUAAUCAGGGUUGCUUAAAUACGGGAGGCUUCUCAAGAGUCUCGAAAGGCUCGCCAGAGAGGGUGCAAGCCCCGUGCAGGGGUCUCUCGAACAAAGUAAUCUAAACAAGAGUCGUGUUGCUUGGAACUGCAGCACUAAGUGGGAGAUAUGAUUCUUCCAAAGCUAAAUAUUGAUGGGAGACCGAUAGCGAACAAGUACUGUGAAGGAAAGAUGAAAAGGACUUUGAAAAGAGAGUGAAAAGAUCUGAAAUCGUUGAGAAGGAAGCGGUUAGGACUGAUCGAGGUUAUGAUGGCGCAACGCGGCCAAAAGUCGUGAAGUGACUACCAAAAACCCUGGACAAAAUGAAUCUCUUCGCACCGAAAUAGGCGCAAGCCGUGUAAGGCGUGAAGGGAUUGAGGGGCUACGGCGAUUUUGUCUAAAAGGUUCUAACUGU
rnacentral:rRNA from 1 species